CCUCCCUUCUCUGCCAGGCAGGGAUUUCUUCUCCCUGGUUUUCAUGUAGAUAGUGUGAGAAGGAACUGGACUAACACCACUCUUGCAGUGGGAGUCCAAGACCCAACGUAUCCUUGUCAUAUGCCAAGGAAAUCCACCGGUCAGGAUAUGCUGUAGGCUAGAUGAAAUUUGCUGAGUGGAGGUUGAAAUUGCAUUUUAAUGCCUGGGGUGAGAAAAGCACAGAGAGUAGCAGUGUUUCUGCUUGAGAAGAACAUUUCCAGGUCUUAGCUUGGUGCCUGCUCCAGCCUUGCCAGCAACAGCAAUGCUGCUGGUCCUGGGGACUGACCCUGCUCCCAGCCCAGCAUCCUCCAGAUGUGGACAGAGAUCCUGAACUUCACCAUCUCAUGGCCAAAGAAAAAACUCUCCAGCUCCCUCAAGAGAAGAACCCCUUGCUCACAGGCUGUCCAUCCACCGAGUCUGAAACUUUGUCCUAGUUCAGGAAGGUGGAGACCAAACCAAACAGCUUUUGUCUCAAGCUGAGCCUCCAUGCAUCCUGCCUAGGCACUGGGGGGGUGGCUGGACCGGUGAUCCCACUCUCACCCCAGCCCUAAGCCCGGGUGAAGGUCGCAAAUCAGUGUUUGAGGUGGG
rnacentral:lncRNA from 1 species